rnacentral:rRNA from 1 species
GAUGAACGCUGGCGGCGUGCCUAAUACAUGCAAGUCGAGCGAACGGACGAGAAGCUUGCUUUUCUGAUGUUAGCGGCGGACGGGUGAGUAACACGUGGAUAACCUACCUAUAAGACUGGGAUAACUUCGGGAAACCGGAGCUAAUACCGGAUAAUAUUUUGAACCGCAUGGUUCAAAAGUGAAAGACGGUCUUGCUGUCACUUAUAGAUGGAUCCGCGCUGCAUUAGCUAGUUGGUAAGGUAACGGCUUACCAAGGCAACGAUGCAUAGCCGACCUGAGAGGGUGAUCGGCCACACUGGAACUGAGACACGGUCCAGACUCCUACGGGAGGCAGCAGUAGGGAAUCUUCCGCAAUGGGCGAAAGCCUGACGGAGCAACGCCGCGUGAGUGAUGAAGGUCUUCGGAUCGUAAAACUCUGUUAUUAGGGAAGAACAUAUGUGUAAGUAACUGUGCACAUCUUGACGGUACCUAAUCAGAAAGCCACGGCUAACUACGUGCCAGCAGCCGCGGUAAUACGUAGGUGGCAAGCGUUAUCCGGAAUUAUUGGGCGUAAAGCGCGCGUAGGCGGUUUUUUAAGUCUGAUGUGAAAGCCCACGGCUCAACCGUGGAGGGUCAUUGGAAACUGGAAAACUUGAGUGCAGAAGAGGAAAGUGGAAUUCCAUGUGUAGCGGUGAAAUGCGCAGAGAUGUGGAGGAACACCAGUGGCGAAGGCGACUUUCUGGUCUGUAACUGACGCUGAUGUGCGAAAGCGUGGGGAUCAAACAGGAUUAGAUACCCUGGUAGUCCACGCCGUAAACGAUGAGUGCUAAGUGUUAGGGGGUUUCCGCCCCUUAGUGCUGCAGCUAACGCAUUAAGCACUCCGCCUGGGGAGUACGACCGCAAGGUUGAAACUCAAAGGAAUUGACGGGGGCCCGCACAAGCGGUGGAGCAUGUGGUUUAAUUCGAAGCAACGCGAAGAACCUUACCAAAUCUUGACAUCCUUUGACAACUCUAGAGAUAGAGCCUUCCCCUUCGGGGGACAAAGUGACAGGUGGUGCAUGGUUGUCGUCAGCUCGUGUCGUGAGAUGUUGGGUUAAGUCCCGCAACGAGCGCAACCCUUAAGCUUAGUUGCCAUCAUUAAGUUGGGCACUCUAAGUUGACUGCCGGUGACAAACCGGAGGAAGGUGGGGAUGACGUCAAAUCAUCAUGCCCCUUAUGAUUUGGGCUACACACGUGCUACAAUGGACAAUACAAAGGGCAGCGAAACCGCGAGGUCAAGCAAAUCCCAUAAAGUUGUUCUCAGUUCAGAUUGUAGUCUGCAACUCGACUACAUGAAGCUGGAAUCGCUAGUAAUCGUAGAUCAGCAUGCUACGGUGAAUACGUUCCCGGGUCU